UGUGUCAAAAAAAAUAACACAUUGGGAUGUGUAGACAGCAUUGACAGAUUAUGUGUCAUUUUUGUGUAAGAUUUCACAGAAUGUGUGAAACCUGAAGUUAAGAGAUUCAUUUCUGGGUCGUGCUACAACAAGUGAGAAACUAACGGCCGUUUGGCUGUCCAAUCGCGUGACUGUGGACAUUUGAAAGCAGACUUCCGCCCGCCUUUUCUACCGUUGGAAAUGCAAGAUGCGGCGACUUGACUUCAGACACCGAGAGAGGCUGGCGGCCCAGGUCUUGUGGCCACAUCUGUCCAAGCUCCUACUCUGAUUGAACAGUUGGAUGAUCAGACUGAUGAUGAAAAGUGCUACACAGUUCUCACACAUCUUCUGACUCCGAAGCCGCUGCAGUGUAAAAUCUGAGAUGUCUUUUCUGGUU